UACGUAGGGUGCAAGCGUUGUUCGGAAUUACUGGGCGUAAAGGGCGCGUAGGCGGCCUUCUAAGUCGAACGUGAAAUCCCCGGGCUCAACCCGGGAACUGCGUCCGAGACUGGAAGGCUUGAAUCCGGGAGAGGGAUGUGGAAUUCCAGGUGUAGCGGUGAAAUGCGUAGAUAUCUGGAGGAACAUCGGUGGCGAAGGCGGCAUCCUGGACCGGUAUUGACGCUGAGGCGCGAAAGCCAGGGGAGCAAACGGG
rnacentral:rRNA from 1 species